rnacentral:rRNA from 1 species
AGGAGCUGAUAUCAGGCACAAAUUUGCCCAAAACAUCUAGCCACGCCACACCCACAAGGGCCCUCAGCAGUGAUUAACCUUAAAAAAUAAACGUCAGUUUGACUUAGUUAAUGAAAAAUAGAGCCGGCCAAUCUGGUGCCAGCCGCCGCACACCAUAUGACUCAAAUUGAUUUUCACACGGCGUAAAGCGUGAUUAAAGAAAUACUUACUGGGGACAAACUUAAAUUAAGCUGUAAUACGAUUAUUUUUAAGAAGACCAAUCUCGAAAGAUACCCCAAAAAAUCAACUUGAAUUCACAACAACUAGGAUACAAACUGGAAUUAGAUACUCCACUAUGCCUAGUCGUAAACUUUAACUUACACCUCAUCACCAGGGAACUACGAGCAAAGCUUAAAACCCAAAGGACUUGACGGUACCCCAUAUCCCCCUAGAGGAGCCUGUCCUACAACCGAUACCCCCCGUUCAACCUCACCACUCUUAGUCUAUCAGCCUGUAUACUUCCGUCGCCAGCUUACCGCGUGAGCGAAUAAGUAAGCUUAAUGUCACACAUCAACACGUCAGGUCAAAGUGCAGCACAUAGAGUGGCAAGAGAUGGGCUACACUUUCUACUGUAGAAAAUACGAAAAGAUAUGUGAAACCAUAUUAAGAAGGUGGAUUUAGCAGUAAGGGCGGAAUAGAGUACCCCCCUUAACUCGGCACUGGGGUGUGUACACACCGCCCGUCACCCUCUUCAACAAACCUAAUUAGUUCCUAACAACACACCAAUUCAUAGAAGAGGCAAGUCGUAACAUGGUAAGUAUACCGGAAGGUGUGCUUGGAAA